rnacentral:rRNA from 1 species
UACGUAGGGGGCAAGCGUUGUCCGGAUUUAUUGGGCGUAAAGGGAGCGUAGGCGGAUAGUUUAGUCAGAGGUGAAAGCCCAGGGCUCAACCUUGGAAUUGCCUUUGAUACUGGCUAUCUUGAGUACGGAAGAGGUAUGUGGAACUCCGAGUGUAGAGGUGAAAUUCGUAGAUAUUCGGAAGAACACCAGUGGCGAAGGCGACAUACUGGUCCGUUACUGACGCUGAGGCUCGAAAGCGUGGGGAGCAAACAGG